rnacentral:sRNA from 1 species
ACCUCUCUCACUAUGUUUUUACCAUGCUCAAUAGGCUUCAUCCCGGUCAACAAUUCAAGAAAAACAACCCCAAGGCUGUACACAUCACUUUUAUCCGUCAAUUUAUGAGUUAGGAAGUAUUCUGGAUCAAGAUACCCCUGCCAAAGGGUGCCCUUAACAACGGUGGAGACAUGAGCUGGUAAAGCCCCUUCAACAUCUGGUACUGGAGCAAGCCUCGAAAGACCGAAGUCAGCUACCUUGGCGACAUAUUUAGAAUCCAACAAAAUAUUGCUGGCCUUAACAUCACGGUGAAAUAUAGGAGGAUCUGCAUCGGUGUGGAGAUACAGAAUUCCCUUUGAAGCACCCAAUGCAAUGUGCAGCCUCAAACCAAAACCGAGAGCCAUGUGCUUACCAGAAAGAUGAUCACGUAAAGUGCCAUUCGGCAUGAAUUCAUAAACUAGCAUCUAUGCACCUGUUCAUUUUCUUCAUCACAGUAACCAACCAACGCAACCAGAUUGCGAUGAUGCAAUCUAGACAACAGCUCUAUUUCUGUGCAAAACUCUGUUGAACCUUGAAGAGAAUCCUCGUGUGCCCUUUUGAUUGCAACAAUUGUUCCAUCAGCUAGAAUUCCUUUAUAGACUAUUCCAUAACCUCCUUGACCAACUUGAGCUGACAUAUCAAAAUUAUUUGUAGCAGAAGCCAUUUCUUCAUAUGUGAAGCAUCUGACCCCAUCAAUUUU